rnacentral:pre_miRNA from 1 species
CAAAUACUCCCUCCGUUCGGAAUUACUUGUCUCGGAAAUGGAUGUAUCUAGAACUAAAAUACAUCUAGAUACAUCCAUUUCUGCGACAAGUAAUUCCGAACGGAGGGAGUAACUU